rnacentral:rRNA from 1 species
UGUGUAUCAGUACAUGGCAUAUCAAUAAGCGGAGGAAAAGAAACUAACAAGGAUUCCCUUAGUAACGGCGAGUGAAGCGGGAAGAGCUCAAAUUUGAAAUCUUCAAGGUUCUACCUUGACGAAUUGUAGUUUAUAGAAGUGUUUUCUGUUAGUGGAGUGGCAAAAGUUCUUUGGAAUAGGACAUCAUAGAGGGUGAGAAUCCCGUAUUUGGUCAUUCCUCCUAGCGUUGUGAUACACUUUCAACGAGUCGGAUUGUUUGGGAAUGCAGUCCAAAAUGGGUGGUAAAUUUCAUCUAAAGCUAAAUAUUGGCGAGAGACCGAUAGCGAACAAGUACCGUGAGGGAAAGAUGAAAAGAACUUUGAAAAGAGAGUUAAACAGUACAUGAAAUUGUCAAAAGGGAAGCGUUUGACACCAGUGUUGUUUUUCCGAAAAUCAAUUACGAAUGUUUUGUUUUUAAGAAGUUAUGACUUCAUCGGCUUGCUUCUUUCUUUACUGAAACUUUCUUAAUGCACUUUUCGGUUAACAAGUCAACAUCAAUUUCUUUUGUUGUAAAAGGGUAUGAGGAAGGUGGCUUUCUUUUCGGAGAAAGUGUUUAUAGCCUUGUGCCUCUGCAAUCGGAGAGAUUGAGGUCUGCAGCGUAGAUCCUUCGGGGUUAGAUACGUUUGUGCUAAGUUAUAGCUUUUCAUAGACAACUUGUUGACUAUGUUUAGUCUUGUAGCUUACUCGCUUAUGCUAUUUUACCUACGCUUAGGAUGUUGACAGCAGUAUAGCUGU